CCCACCUGAAACCUGGGGUAGCCUCUAGAACAGAGAGGGGCUGGGGAGAGGAAGGGGCAGAGGGACCGGUCACUGUCCAGCCUGGAGGGAGGCAUUGGUGGCCAAGGACACCCUUUGUUGCCCAUGGCCAUUCACCCCCAGGCCUGGUGCUUCUCCCCACACCCCUGUAGGCCUCAAGUGACUCUUCCCCCUCCUGCUCCGGCCCCGCCCCUGCUGAGCCAAACCCAGUAGGAGGCUGGGCCUGGGUUUGUGCUGCUGGGGUCUCCAUCACUGGGCCUGAGGGACUGUGGGGGCUCAAGGGUAAUGCCAGAGGCCCAUGGCCUCAGCGAGGGGCUGUGGGGCGCCUAGAGUUCUCGGUGUGUCUCCUUCAUUCAUUGGCCUCUGCUGGGGCCUCCUAUGGGUGUCUUACGUCUGUCCAUCCAUCUGUCUGUGGUCAGAAGUGGGGUCAGUGUGUGAGUGAGAGCAGGAGUAUUUAUGAAAAUAAAACGUCGUUUUUCCUGGACCAGCUGCUCUCGUGGCCCUUUGGAGGUUGAGGGAGAUGGGAGGGGUUGAGUCCAUGUUCCCCAGGGCUGCCCUGUAGACCUCUCCACUUCCGUCUUUGGAGGUCAGGCCGUGGGCCCCCUCCCCACCACCCCCCGGGCCCUGCACCGGAAGAGGCCCUGCAAAGGGGCCUGUGGCCAGUGCUGAGUCACCAGAGAGGGCGCUGGGCUGUGGCGGACCAGGACCGUCCCAGCUGGAAGUGGGUGACCGCCAGGGCCUGGCAGGAGCCCCAGCUGCUACAGACACCGAGGGGGAGGCCCCUGGCUGCUCACGACUUCCUCCUGCUGUGCUCAGCCCUCCACACAACCUCGAUGCUGCAGCACCCCAGAGGGAAGUCCAAGCCCAGCUUCUCCCUCCCCCCAGACAUCACUCCCUUGCCCAGCACCAAUCGCAGUUUGUUUGGGAGCAGACCCAGGGACCCUGAGCUGGGCCCCUGCCACUCGCAGCGGCAGCUCUCCCCCACACAGUGCUAUCAGAGUUUUCUCCAACCAGGAGGCUGGGGUCCAAGCUUGGGCGUGGCUUCGAGGCCACACAGCUGGGAGCGAGGGGGCGCUGGUCCAGGCAGAUGGGCCCUGUUGUGUGGGAGGCCAGCCCUGCGUGUGGCUCUGCAGGAAAGUGUUCCCUGCUCAGAUGAGUCCAGGGAGGCUGCGCACGGUUUCUCCUGAGUAGAUGAGCCCAUACAGACCCUGGGAAGUCCCUCAUUUAAGAAGCCAUUUUCACUUUGUCUAAUCUAGUGUUUCCCAAUCUGAACUUGGCCGCUGAACCCUUCUCCUUAG
rnacentral:lncRNA from 1 species